CCUACGGGGGGCUGCAGUAAGGAAUAUUGGUCAAUGGACGAAAGUCUGAACCAGCCAUGCCGCGUGGAGGAUGAAGGUCCUCUGGAUUGUAAACUUCUUUUAUAUGGGACGAAAAAAGGCUUUUCUAGGUCGUCUGACGGUACCAUAUGAAUAAGCACCGGCUAACUCCGUGCCAGCAGCCGCGGUAAUACGGAGGGUGCCAGCGUUACCCGGAUUCACUGGGGUGUAGGGGGGUUGGUGUGGGAGUGGAGAAAUCCCCGAGCUUAACUUGGAAACUGCCAUUGAUACUAUCAGUCUUGAAUACCGUAGAGGUCAGCGGAAUAUGUCAUGUAGCGGUGAAAUGCUUAGAUAUGACAUAGAACACCAAUUGCGAAGGCAGCUGGCUACCCGAAUAUUGACACUGAGGCACGAAAGCGUGGGGAUCAAACAGGAUUAGAUACCCCAGUAGUC
rnacentral:rRNA from 1 species